AGAGUUUGAUCAUGGCUCAGAACACGCUGGCGGCACNNUAAUACAUGCAAGUCGAACGCAGUAGCAAUACUGAGUGGCAGACGGGUGAGUAUAAUGUGGGAAUAUGCCUUUUGGUUUGGAAUAACUCGGGGAAACUUGAGCUAAUACCGAAUAAGCCCUUACGGGGAAAGAUUUAUCGCCGAAAGAUUAGCCCGCACUUGAUUAGCUUGUUGGUGGGGUAAAAGCUCACCAAGGCAACGAUCAAUAGCUGUUCUUAGAGGAAGACCAGCCACAUUGGGACUGAGACACGGCCCAGACGCCUACGGGAGGCAGCAG
rnacentral:rRNA from 1 species